rnacentral:rRNA from 1 species
GAUGAACGCUGGCGGCGUGCCUAAUACAUGCAAGUCGAGCGAACAGACGAGGAGCUUGCUCCUCUGACGUUAGCGGCGGACGGGUGAGUAACACGUGGAUAACCUACCUAUAAGACUGGGAUAACUUCGGGAAACCGGAGCUAAUGCCGGAUAAUAUAUUGAACCGCAUGGUUCAAUAGUGAAAGACGGUUUUGCUGUCACUUAUAGAUGGAUCCGCGCCGCAUUAGCUAGUUGGUAAGGUAACGGCUUACCAAGGCAACGAUGCGUAGCCGACCUGAGAGGGUGAUCGGCCACACUGGAACUGAGACACGGUCCAGACUCCUGCGGGAGGCAGCAGUAGGGAAUCUUCCGCAAUGGGCGAAAGCUUGACGGAGCAACGCCGCGUGAGUGAUGAAGGUCUUCGGAUCGUAAAACUCUGUUAUUAGGGAAGAACAAAUGUGUAAGUAACUAUGCACGUCUUGACGGUACCUAAUCAGAAAGCCACGGCUAACUACGUG